GACGGGCAGUUGCAGUGUUUUUCUUGUAGUGUGGAAGUUUUUUUUUUUGGUUUGUGUUUUGGAUGAUGAAUUUUGUUAUUUUUGCGUUUGGGUCUGCAUUUUCUUUGUUGUUUAGUACUUAUUGUGAAGGUUUAGUAUUAUUGUGAAGGUUUAGUAGGUUCACGUCUGCAGGCUAGAUCACCAUCAAAAGCUACAAACUGGAAACAGUAGAGGAAGGUACUAGCCCCGUGUUUCUGAUUCAGUAUCACUGAAAUACUUUGGAACCAUAUAAAGGGCAAAGUACAUUCCACAUGUUGAAGGACAGUGCCUGGCCCUGUGGGGUGUCAUCCCCAUGCUGUAGGCAUAGUGGCAACCCAGGGGUUCAUCUCAACUCCCAUCAGAGUUCAAACAUUGAAUUAGUUGUGCAAUGGAAGGAGUAUUACCAGGACCCAGAUGCAGCCCAGGGAAAAAAGAAAACAAAAGGAGACACACACAGCUCAGAGCCACUCAGACAUUGGGAAGCAAGUUUGUCAAGAUGACAGAGAACCGAGGUAAUGGAUUCGAGUGAUGAAACAGGAAGUUCAUUCAUGAGUUUUUGGCCACACCUCCAAAGAGACGACUUAGCCAGAAAUGGGAUAACUGGGUUUCCCUACUUCUCUUUUAUCAUCCUCAAUGAGAGUGACCAAAUAUUAGAGCUAGAUGGAACCUUAGUGAAAAUCUGGCUACUCAUCCAGUCCCACCAGCCUGCCACCCAUUUCAAGUUUGAAGAGACAGAGACACAUGGACCUUAUGUAAUUACUGGGGAUUACCCCAGGAGUCUGUGGCAAAAGUCAGCUUCUUCCCUCCCUGCUUCCCUGCCCUGUCUCUGGUGCUUUCUACCAACACUGGGCUGUUUCUGUGAUCAUACUUAAGCGUACCUAACCUGUGAAUGCUGUAUAGAAGGUGCUAAUGAACAUGAUUUAGCUUUAACACUCAGUUUUCUAAAGGGACACGUGGGGGCAGCAAAUGUUUAGGGAAAAACAAUUCCAGUUCUCACCUCUACUGUCUACAUAUGUGUAUACAUUUGGGAAACGUUUGGGAAAGGGAUAUUUGAGAGCUUCUUUUUCUUUUUUGUGGUUUAGUUAUUUGAUGAUAUUGAGAUUGUUUCUGAGCCAUGUGCUUCAACAUCGGAUUGGGGAUUUCAGAAAAAGUUUUAGUCACUGUGAUUCAAUUUAGCUUCCAAAUGUGUCUCUGCUAAGAGACUUAAAAGCACUCAUAAAUAGCACAUGUGUCUUCUUUGCAGUGUUUGCUAAUUUUGAGUUACAUCUUUUUAGAAAAUCAUGAGAUUUGGUGUCACAGAGACUGGAAUAAAUAUAGUCAAACUUAUUGGUGAAGAUUUCCUUUAGCUGUUUUCAUAAUCCAUUUCCAUUGUUAUGAUUAUUGAUGAAUAAAACAUUUUCUUUAGGUAGAUACUUCUUUUUUUCCCCCACCUUGAUUUAAUGUUUCCACUCUUAUUGUCAAGUUUCUUAUUACUCCCUAAUAACUCUCAAUAAAAUAAUGAUUCCUGGGAGAUU